AGGACGAACGCUGGCGGCGUGCUUAACACAUGCAAGUCGAGCGGAAAGGCCCUUCGGGGUACUCGAGCGGCGAACGGGUGAGUAACACGUGAGUAAUCUGCCCCUAGCUCUGGGAUAGCUCCGGGAAACCGGGAUUAAUACCGGAUACGACCACCUUAGUACAUCUUUUGUGGUGGAAAGAAUUUCGGCUAGGGAUGAGCUCGCGGCCUAUCAGCUUGUUGUGGGUAAUGGCCUACCAAGGCGACGACGGGUA
rnacentral:rRNA from 1 species